rnacentral:lncRNA from 1 species
AGAAUAUGAUGCUGCAUAAAUUGGAUACAUUUGUUUUGCUUACAAAUGAAGGGCCUAGCUUGGAGAAGGAUGAACAUUGGAGCAAGAACAAGCAUGGAGUUGAUGGCAUGCGCAAGGGAAACAAGAACGGAGUUUCAAGUGAUGAUUUCAGGACUUUGAAGCCACCAUAAUGAGUGCAUGAAGCCUUGGACAAAAUAUACAAGAUGCCACUUCAUAAUUUUCAUCCAGAGGCUAUUCUAAGUGCUGUGUCACCUUAUUAUUGGACCAGGCCCAUGUAAUUUCGAAAUACUUGAAUGUAGGCUAUUUUUAGGGUCUGUAUGUGUGGGGAAACAAGAGUUAGGUUUGGUUUCGGAUCCCUCCUCUAAGGGCCACGAAAUCCCCCCCCCCUCUUCCUCCAUAUAUACAACCCUUAGGGCAUCCUUUAGACUUUGGGUUUUGUUUAGAUUAAAAGUUUGCCAUAGCUGCAACUUCCGUACUUCGUUUGUGUUCGACGACCAGACAAAGGUGUCACAUAAACCCACCUUCAUUAAUAAAGCUUUCCUAUUAUAUUCACAAUAUCCAGAUUACAAUCUCAGUUUCUUGCUUGUUCUUCGUUUGCUCGCAGGAAACAGACCCUCGUGGUUAGGUUGAUCGUGCUCCGGCGUGGUCAAUAACCCCUUGGAAGUUGGUUUAGCGAUUGCUAAGGUGCGACGUCUCGCACGUUCGUAGUCGGAUCGUCAAGGUCGACUCCCACAGAAAAGGAUAGCCACCAUCUCAUCGAAACAGCACGACCCCUUCGCCUCUAUCACAAUGUCACUACGGGAAUCCACGAGUUGAAUGCCAAAACACACAGAAUCAAUAUGAUACCCAAUUGUCACCACGACUAUUCAUAUGCAAGACAUAUAUAAGGUGCUCUCAAAUCCAUAAAAGUAUUCAAUCCGAUAACAACAAAAUCUCAAAGGGAAAAACUCAAUUCAUCACAACAAGAUAGAGAGGGGAAAACACCAUAUGAUCCAACUAUAUUAACAAAGCCCCCGAUACAUCAAGAUUGUGACAUCAAGAACAUGAGAGAUAGAGAGAAAGAUUAAACACAUAUCUACUGGUACAAACCCUCAGCCCCGAGGGUGGACUACUCCCUCCUCAUCGUAGUGGCGGCCGGGAUGAUGAAGAUGGCCACCAGAGAUGAUUCCCCCCUCUGGCAGGGUGCCGGAACAGGGUCUAGAUUGGUUUUUGAUGGCUACAGAGCCUUGCGGCAGUGGAACUUCUGAUCUAUGUUAACCCCGAGGGUUUUCAGAAUAUUUGGGAAUUUAUUGUGUAAAGAGGGGGUGCGGGAGGCCACCGAGGUGGGCACAACCCACCUGGGUGUGCCUAGGCCCCCAGGCGCGCCCUGGUGGGUUGUGCCCCCCUCGAGGCACCCCCGAGGUGCUGCUUUGGCCCAUCGGGAGUCUUCUGGUCCAUAAAAAAUCCACAAAAAGUUUCGCGGUGUUUCGACUCCCUUUGAUAUUGAUUUCCCGCGAUGUAAAAAACCAGCAAAAAACAGCAACUGGCACUGGGCACUAGGUCAAUAGUUUAGUACCAAAAAAUGAUAUAAAAUUGCUAUAAAAUGAUUGUAAAACAUCCAAGAAUGAUAAUAAAACAACAUGAAUACUUCAUAAAUAAUAGAUACGUUGGAGACGUAUCAACAUCCCCAAGCUUAAUUCCUACUCGUCCUCGAGUAGGUACAUGAUAAAAGAAAUAAUUUAUGAAGUGUGAAUGCUAGCAAAGUGUAUAAGUUUGAUCCAUGAUAAUUUCAAUCACUUUUCCUAACAUCAUGAUAACAACUGUUUCUUAUAAAAUUUCUCAUGUUUAAAGUAGCAACAAAUUCACAUGUUAAGGUUCAAACAAUGAAUUCUCUUGAAACUCAAGAACCUCUGUUCUCAGUCACCAAGCAAUUGCAAUUCAACUUAUUCAACAGAGUUUAAGUAAGAGCUUCACAUACUCAACCAUCAUAUAGUCUUCUAUGAUUGCUAACACUCACCGUAUACACAUGAGCAAAACGUUUCAAUCAGACACAUAGAAAGAUAGGGGCUUAUUAUAUCGCCUCCCAACGUAUUCACCUAAAGGGUGAUGUCAACAAUAAUAACUCAUGCUAACCAUAUCCAACUGGAUAUAUGUGCCUAGAUCUUUCCUCACCACAUGAUGCUUGCCAAAAGAGAAAAAUAAAAAGGAAUAGAGAGAAAAACUUUGACUCUUGCAUGAAAGUAAAUACAUAAAAGUAAAAGAUAGGCCCUUCGCAGAGGGAAGUAGAGAUUGCCAUGCGCUUAUUUGUUUGUAUGCUCAUCCCCUUAGUGCAAAAGAACGUCACGUUAUAUUGCCCCUUAUGAUAGCAACCUUUAUUAUGCAGUCUGUCACUUUUAUUCUUUGCCAUCACAAGUUCGUAACAACGCUCAAUUUUCUCUUACACUAAAUGAUCUAACACAUAUAGAAGCAAUUUUUAUUGCCUUGCACCGAUGACAACUUACUUGAGGGAUCUUAUUCAAUCCUUAGGUAGGUAUCUUGGACUCUUGAAAAUAAGAUUUGGGUUUAAGGGAUUUUGGAUGCACAAGUAGUAUCUCUACUUGGUGCGGAAUUUUUGGCUACCAAAGAUGGGGGACAAGCACCACAUGUCGAAGGAUCUAUAACUGUUGGGGAACGUAGUAAUUUCAAAAAAAUUCCUACGCACACGCAAGAUCAUGCUGAUGCAUAGCAACGAGAGGGGAGAGUGUCGUCCACGUACCCUCGUAGACCGUAAGCGGAAGCGUUAUGACAACGCGGUUGAUGUAGUCGUACGUCUUCAUGAUCGACCGAUCCAAGUACCGAACGUAUGACACCUCCGCGAUCUGCACAUGUUCAGCUCAGUGACGUCCCACGAACUCACGAUCCAGUAGAGCUUCGAGGGAGAGUUUCGUCAACACGCCGACGUGAUGGCGGUGUUGAUGAAGCUACCGACGCAGGGCUUUGCCUAAGCACCGCUAUGAUAUGACCGAGGUGGAUUAUGGUGGAGGGGGGCACCACACACGGCUAAAGAUCAAUGAUCAACUUGUGUGUCCAUGGGGGUUCCCCCCUCCCCCGUAUAUAAAGGAGUGGAGGAGGGGGAGGGCCGGCCCUCAACUAUGGCGCGCCCUGGGGAGUCCUACUCCCGGGAGUAGGAUUCCCCCCUUCCAUGUAGUAGGAGUAGGAGAGAAGGAAAGGAAAAAGAGAAGAGAAGGAAGGAGGGGGCGCAGCCCCUCCCCCUAGUCCAAUUCGGACUAGGCCUUGGGAGGGGGGGCACAACGUCCUCUCUCUCUUUCCCCUAAAGCCCAAUAAGGCCCAUAUACUCCCCGGCGAAUUCCCGUAACUCUCCGGUACUCCGAUAAAUACCCGAAUCACUCGAAACCUUUCCGAUGUACGAAUAUAGUCGUCCAAUAUAUCGAUCUUUACGCCUCGACCAUUUCGAGAGUCCUCGUCAUGUCCCCGAUCUCAUUCAGGACUCCAAACUACCUUCGGUACAUCAAAACACAUAAACUCAUAUUACCGAUCGUCACCGAACGUUAAGCGUGCGGACCCUACGGGUUCGAGAACUAUGUAGACAUGACCGAGACACGUCUCCGGUCAAUAACCAAUAGCGGAACCUGGAUGCUCAUAUUGGCUCCUACAUAUUCUACGAAGAUCUUUAUUGGUCAAACCGCAUAACAACAUACGUUGUUCCCUUUGUCAUCGGUAUGUUACUUGCCCGAGAUUCGAUAGUUGGUAUCUCAAUACCUAGUUCAAUCUCGUUACCGGCAAGUCUCUUUACUCGUUCCGUAAUGCAUCAUCCCACAACUAACUCAUUAGUCACAAUGCUUGCAAGGCUUAUAGUGAUGUGCAUUACCGAGAGGGCCCAAAGAUACCUCUCCGACAAUCGGAGUGACAAAUCCUAAUCUCGUUCUAUGCCAACUCAACAAACACCAUUGGAGACACCUGUAGAGCACCUAUAUAAUCACCCAGUUACGUUGUGACGUUUGGUAGCACACAAAGUGUUCCUCCGGUAUUUGGGAGUUGCAUAAUCUCAUAGUCAUAGGAACAUGUAUAAGUCAUGAAGAAAGCAAUAGCAACAUACUAAACGAUCAAGUGCUAAGCUAAAGGAAUGGGUUAAUUCAAUCACAUCAUUCUCUAAUGAUGUGAUCCCGCUAAACAAAUUACAACUCAUGUCUAUGGUUUGGAAACUUAACCAUCUUUGAUUCAACGAGCUAGUCAAGUAGAGGCAUACUAGUGACACUAUGUUUGUCUAUGUAUUCACACAUGUAUUAUGUUUCCGGUUAAUACAAUUCUAGCAUUAAUAAUUAACAUUUAUCAUGAAAUAAGGAAAUAAAUAACAACUUUAUUAUUGUCUCUAGGGCAUAUUUCCUUCGGUCUCCCACUUGCACUAGACUCAAUAAUCUAGUUCACAUCACUAUGUGAUUUAACACCAUAUUCACAUCUGUAUGUGAUUAACACCCAUAGUUCACAUCGUCAUGUGAUCAACACCCGAAGGGUUUACUAGAGUCAAUAAUCUAGUUCACAUCGCUAUGUGAUUAACACCCAAAGAGUACUAAGGUGUGAUCAUGUUUUGCUUGUGAGAGAAGUUUAGUCAACGGAUUUGUCACAUUCAGAGCCGUAUGUAUUUUGCAAAUAUUCUAUGUCUACAAUGCUCUGCACGGAGCUACUCUAGCUAAUUGCUCCCACUUUCAAUAUGUAUCCAGAUUGAGACUUAGAGUCAUCUGGAUCGGUGUAAAAGCUUGCACCGAUGUAACUCUUUAUGACGAACUCUUUUAUCACCUCCAUAAUCGAGAAACAUUUCCUUAGUCCUCACUAAGGAUAUUCUUGACCGCUAUCCAGUGAUCUACUCCUAGAUCAAAAUUGUACUCCCUUGCCCAAUUCAAAGCAAGGUAUACAAUAGGUCUGGUACACAGCAUAGCAUACUUUAUAGAACCUAUGGCUGAGGCAUAGGGUUGACUUUUCAUUCUCUUUCUAUUUUCUACCAUGGUCGGGUUUUGAGUCUUACUCAACUUCACCUUGCAACACAGGCAAGAACUCCUUCUUUGACUGUUCCAUUUUGAACUACUUCAAAAUCUUAUCAAGGUAUGUACUCAUUGAAAAAUCUUAUCAAGCGUCUUGAUCUAUCUCUAUAGAUCUUGAUGCUCAAUGUGUAAGCAGCUUCACCGAGGUCUUUCUUUGAAAAACUCCUUUCAAACACUCAUUUAUGCUUUCCAGAAAAUUCUAAUUAUUUCUGAUCAACAAUAUGUCAUUCACAUAUACUUAUCAGAAAGGCUAUAGUACUCCCACUCACUUUCUUGUAAAUACAGGCUUCACCGCAAGUCUGUAUAAAACUAUAUGCUUUGAUCAACUCAUCAAAGCAUAUAUUCCAACUCCGAGAUGCUUGCACCAGUCCAUAGAUGGAUCACUGGAGCUUUGUACACUUUGUUAGCACCUUUAGGAUUGACAAAACCUUCUGGUUGCAUCAUAUACAACUCUUCUUUAAUAAAUCCAUUAAGGAAUGCAACUUUGACAUCCAUUUGCUAGAUUUCAUAAAAUGUGGCAAUUGCUAACAUGAUUCGGACAGACUUAAGCAUCGAUACGAGUGAGAAAAUAUCAUCGUAUUCAACACCUUGAACUUGUCGGAAUUUCUUUUGUGACAAGUCGGGCUUUGUAGUUAGUAACACUACUAUCAGCGUCUGUCUUCCUCUUGAAGAUCCAUUUAUUUUCUAUGGCUUGCCGAUCAUCGGGCAAGUCCACCAAAGUCCACACUUUGUUCUCAUACAUGGGUCCUAUCUCAGAUUUCAUGGCCUUCAAGCCAUUUCGCGGAAUCUGGGCUCAUCAUCACUUCCUCAUAGUUCGUAGGUUCACCAUGGUCUAAUGACAUGACUUCCAGAACAGGAUUACCGUACCACUCUGGUGCAGACUGUACUUUGGAAGACCUACGAGGUUCUGUAGUAACUUAAUCUGAAGUUUCAUGAUCAUCAUCAUUAGCUUCCUCACUUAUUGGUGUAGGAAUCACUGGAACUGAUUUCUAUGAUUAACUACUUUCCAAUUCGGGAGAAGGUACAAUUACCUUAUCAAGCUCUACUUUCCUCUCACUCACUUCUUUCGAGAGAAACUCCUUCUCUAGAAAGGAUCCAUCUUAGCAACGAAUAACUUGCCUUCGGAUCUGUGAUAGAAGGUGUACCCAAUAGUUUCCUUUGGGUAUUCUAUGAAGACGCACUUCUCUGAUUUGUGUUCGAGCUUAUCAGGUGAAAUUUUUUCACAUAAGCAUCACAACCCCAAACUUUAAGAAACGACAACUUUGGUUUCUUGCCAAACCACAAUUCAUAAGGCGUUGUCUCAACGGAUUUUGAUGGUGCCCUAUUUAAAGUGAAUGUAGCUGUCUCUAAUGCAUAACCCCAAAACGAUAGUGGUAAAUCAGUAAGAUACAUCAUAGAUCGCACCAUAUCCAAUAAAGUGCGGUUACAACGUUCGGACACACCAUUACGCUGUGGUGUACCAUGUGGCGUGAGCUGUGAAACUAUUCCACAUUGUUUUUAAAUGAAGGCUAAACUUGUAACUCGGAUAUUCUCCUCUAUGAUCAGAUUGUAGAAACUUUAUUUUCUUGUUACGAUGAUUCUCCACUUCACUCUGAAAUUCUUUGAACUUUUCAAAUGUUUCAGACUUGUGCUUCCUUAAGUAGAUAUACUCAUAUCUGCUCAAAUCAUCUGUGAAGGUCAGAAAAUAAUGAUACCCGCCACGAGCAUCAACACUCAUUGGACUGCAUACAUCGGUAUGUAUUAUUUCGAACAAGUCAGGAGCUCGUCCAUUGUUCCGGAGAACGGAGUCUUAGUCAUCUUGCCCAAAAGGCACGGUUCGCAAGUACCAAGUGAUUCAUAAUCAAGUGAUUCCAGAAAUCCAUCUUCAUGGAGAUUCUUCAUGCGCUUUACACCGAUAUGACCCAAACAGCAGUGCCACAAAUAAGUUGCACUAUCAUUAUCAACUUUGCAUCUUUUGGCAUCAAUAUUAUGAAUAUGUGUAUCACUAUGAUCGAGAUCCAACAAACUAUUUUCAUUGGGUGUAUGAACGUCAAAGGUUUUAUUCAUGUAAAUAGAGCAAUAAUUAUUCUCUGACUUUAAAUGAAUAACCGUAUUGCAAUAAACAUGAUCAAAUCAUAUUCAUGCUCAACGCAAAUGCCAAAUAACAUUUAUUUAGGUUUUAACACUAAUCCCGAAAGUAUAGGGAGUAUGCGAUGAUGAUCAUAUCAAUCUUGGAACCACUUCCAACACACAUUGUCACUUCACCCUCAACUAGUCUCUGUUUAUUCUGUAACUCCUAUUUCGAGUUACUAAUUUUUAGCAACCGAACAAGUAUCAAAUACACAAGGGCUAUUAUAAACACUAGUAAGGUACACAUCGAUAACCUGUAUAUCAAAUAUACCCUUGUUCACUUUGCCAUCCUUCUUAUCCACCAAAUACUCAGACAUUUCCGCAUCCAAUGACCAUUUCCUUUGCAGUAGAAGCACUCAGUUUCAGGCUUUAGUCUAGCUUUGGGCUUCUUCACGGAAGUGACAACUUGCUUGCCAUUCUACAUGAAGUUCCCUUUCUUUCCCUUUGCCCUUUUCUUGAAAAUAGUGGUCUUUCCUGAUUUCUACCUUCAUCGAUUUCAUCAUCAUGAAAAGCUCGGGAAUCAUUUUCGUCAUACCUUGCAUACUAUAGUUCAUCAUGAAGUUCUAGUAACUUGGUGAUGGUGACUAGAGAACUCUGUCAAUCACUAUCUUAUCUGGAAGAUUAACUCCCACUUGAUUCAAGCGAUUGUAGCACCCAGACAAUCUGAGCACAUGCUCACUAGUUGAGCAAUUCUCCUCCAUAUUUUAGCUAUAGAACUUGUUGGAGACUUCAUAUAUCUCAACUCGGUAUUUGCUUGAAAUAUUAACUUCAACUCCUAGAACAUCUCAUGUGGUCCAUGACGUUCAAAACGUCUUUGAAGUCCCGAUUCUAAGCUGUUAAGCAUGGUGCACUAAACUAUCAAGUAGUCAUCAUAUUGAGCUAGACAAAAGUUCAUAACAUCUGCAUCUACUCCUGCAAUAGGUCUGUCACCUAACGGUGCAUCAAGGACAUAAUUAUUCUAUGCAGCAAUGAGGAUAAACCUCAUAUCACGGACCCAGUCCGCAUUAUUGCUACUAUCAUUUUUCAACUUAGUUUUCUCUAGGAACACAUAUAAAACAUAGGGAAGCAAUAACGCGAGCUAUUGAUCUACAACAUUAUUUGCAAAAUACUAUUAGGACUAAGUUCAUGAUAAAUUAAAGUUCAAUUAAUCAUAUUACUUAAGAACUCCCACUUAGAUAGACAUCCCUCUAAUCAUCUAAGUGAUCACGUGAUCCAAAUCAACUAAACCAUGUCCAAUCAUCACGUGAGAUGGAGUAGUUUUCAAUGGUGAACAUCACUAUGUUGAUCAUAUCUACUAUAUGAUUCACGCUCGACCAUUCGGUCUCCAGUGUUUCGAGGCCAUAUCUGCAUAUGCUAGGCUCGUCAAGUUUAACCCGAGUAUUUCUGCGUGUGCAAAAUUGGCUUGCACCCGUUGUAGGUGAACGUUGAGCUUAUCACACCUGAUCAUCACGUGGUGUCUCGGCACGACGAACUUUGGCAACGGUGCAUACUCAGGGAGAACACUUUUACCUUGAAAUUUUAGUAAGGGAUCAUCUUAUAAAGGUACUGUCAAACUAAGCAAAAUAAGAUGUAUAGAAGAUAAACAUCACAUGCAAUCAAAAUAUGUGACAUGAUAUGGCCAUCAUCAUCUUGUGCCUUUGAUCUCCAUCUCCAAGGCAUCAUCAUGAUCUCCACCGUCACUGGCAUGACACCAUGAUCUCCAUCAUCUUGAUCUAUAUCAAUGUGUCGUCACAUGGUCGUCUCGCCAACUAUUGCUCUUGCAACUAUUGCUAUCGCAUAGCGAUAAAGUAAAGCAAUUAUUUGGUACUUGCAUCUUAUGCAAUAAAGAGACAACCAUAAGGUUUCUGCUAGUUGCCGAUAACUUCAACAAAACAUGAUCAUCUCAUACAACAACUUAUAUCUCAUCAUGUCUUGACCAUAUCACAUCACAACAUGCCCUGCAAAACAAGUUAGACGUCCUCUACUUUGUUGUUGCAAGUUUUACGUGGCUGGUAUGGGCUGAGCAAGAACCGUUCUUACCUAUGCAUCAAAACCACAACUAUAUUUCGUCAAGUUAGUGCUGUUUUAACCUUCGCAAGGACUGGGCGUAGCCACACUCGAUUCAACUAAAGUUGGAGAAACUGACACCUGCCAGCCACUGAUGACCCACAAGUAUAGGGGAUCUAUCGCAGUCCUUUCGAUAAGUAAGAGUGUCGAACCCAACGAGGAGCAGAAGGAAAUGAUAAGCGGUUUUCAGUAAGGUUUUCUCUGCAAGCACUGAAAUAGUAGGUGAUAGAUAGUUUUGUGAUAAGAUAAAUAGUAACGAGCAAAAAGUAAAUAAAGUAAAUAAAGUGCAGCAAGGUGGCCCAAUCCUUUAUGUAGCAAAGGAUAAGCCUGGAAAAAUUCUAAUAAUGAAGAAGGAGCUCCCGAGGACACAUUGGGAAUUAUCGUCAAGCUAGUUUUCAUCACGUUCGUAAGAUUCACGUUCGGUACUUUGAUAAUUUGAUAUGUGGGUGGACCGGUACUUGGGUACUGCCCUAACUUGGACAAGCAUCCCACUUAUGAUUAACCCCUAUUGCAAGCAUCCGCAACUACAAAAAGGAGUAUUAAGGUAAACCUAACGACAACAUUAAACAUAUGGGUCCAUACCAACCCCUAAUGAAGCAACGCAUAAACUAGGGUUUAAGCUUCUGUCACUCUAGCAACCCAUCAGCUACUUAUUACUUCCCUAUGCCUUCCUCUAGGCCCAAAUAAUGGUGAAGUGUCAUGUAGUCGAUGUUCACAUAACACCACUAGAGGAAAGACAACAUACAUCUCAUCAAAAUAUCGAACGAAUACCAAAUUCACAUGACUACUAAUAGCAAGACUUCACCCAUGUCCUCAGGAACAAACGUAACUACUCACAAAGCAUAUUCAUGUUCAUAAUCAGAGGGGUAAUAAUAUGCAUAAAGGAUCUGAACAUAUGAUCUUCCACCAAGUAAACCAAAUAGCAUCAACUACAAGGAGUAAUCAACACUACUAGCAACCCACAGGUACCAAUUUGUGGUUUUGAUACAAGAUUGGAUACAAGAGAUGAACUAGGGUUUUGAGAGGAGAUGGUGCCGGUGAAAAUGUUGAUGGAGAUUGACCCCCUCUCGAUGAGAGGAUCGUCGGUGAUGACGUUGGUGAUGAUUUCCCCCUCCUGGAGGGAAGUGUCCUCGGCAGAACAGCGUCACCAGAGCCCUAGAUUGAUUCCGCCAAGGUUCCGCCUCGUGGCGGCGGAGUUUCGUCCCGUAAGCUUGCCCACGAUUUUUUCCAGGGUAAAAGUGAUGAUAUAGCAGAAGAUGGACGCCGGAGGCCCACCAGGGGGCCUAGGAGAUAGGGGGCCGCGCCCUAUAGGGGGGCGCGCCCCCUGUCUCCUAGACAGGGUGUGGGCCCCCUGGCCUAUUUCUUUCGCUCAUAAAUUCUUAUUAAAUCCAAAAAGUUGUUUCGUGGAGUUUCAGGACUUUUGGAGUUGUGCAGAAUAGGUUUCCAACGUUUGCUCCUUUUCCAGCCAGAAUUCCAGCUGCCGGCAUUCCCCCUCUUCAUGGUAAACCUUGUAAAAUAAGAGAGAAUAGCCAUAAGUAUUGAGAUAUAAUGUAUAAUAACAGCCCAUAAUGCAAUAAAUAUUGAUAUAAAAGCAUGAUGCAAGAUGGAAGUAUCAACUCCCCCAAGCUUAGACCUCGCUUGUCCUCAAGCGGAAGCCGAAAUUGAAAAAUAUGUCCACAUGUUUAGAGAUAGAGGUGUCGAUAAAAAUAAAAUACGGACAUGAGGGCAUCAUGAUCAGUCUAAUAACAGUAACAUAUAUAGAUUUUGUCAUAUGAUUUCCUAUGCUCAAGUAAUAAACAAUUCACAAUGUCAAGUAUGGUUCAAAAACUUUAUUGGGAACUAACAAACUAUAAUCUCAGUCAUUGAAGCAAUUGCAAUUUAUUGUAACAUCAGAAAGGGUCAAUAAUAGAGCUUUUCAGCAAGCUCACAUACUCAACUAUCUCGUAGUCUCCUAUAAUUGUUAACACUCACGCAAUACUUGUGGUUAUAGAGUUUCAGCCAGACACUGAGAAAGAUAGGGGCUUAUUGUGUUGCCUCCCAACGUAUUCACCUUUAGGUGAUGUCAACAAUAAUAGCCUAUGCCAACUUACAUCCAAUUGGAUAUAUGUAUCAUGAUCUUUCAAACACGAGGAGCUUGCCAAAGGAUAAAGAGAAAAAGGGAAAGGUGAGCAUCACCUUGACUCAAGCAUAAAGUAAAAACAUAAAGUAAAAGAUAGGCCCUUCGCAGAGGGAAGCAGAGGUUGUCAUGCGCGUUUAGGGUUGAUGCAUAAAAUCUUAGUGCAAAAGAACGUCACUUUAUAUUGCCCCUUGUAUGUGGACCUUUAUUAUGCAGUCCGUCGCUUUUAUUACUUCCACAACAAGUUCGUACAAAGUUUAUUUUCUCUGCACUAAUAAGUCAUACAUAUUUAGAGAGCAAUUUUUAUUGCUUGCACCGAUGACAACUUACUUGAAGGAUCUUACUCAAUCCAUAGGUAGGUAUAUAUAGUGGACUCUCAUGGCAAAACUGGGUUUGAGGGUAUUUGGAAGCACAAGUAGUAUCUCUACUUGGUGCAAGGAAUUUGGCUAGCAUGAGGGGGAAAGGCAAGCUCAACAUGUUUGGAAGGUCAAUUACAAUAUACUUUAACUAAGAUGUCGGAAAACAUAAACCAUUACGUUGUCUUCCUUGUCCAACAUCAACUCUUUUAGCAUGUCAUACUUAAUGAGUGCUUCACAAUCAUAAAAGAUGUCCAAGAUAAUAUAUUUAUAUAUGAACCCCUCUUUCCUUAUCACUUCCUAUUAAUUGCAACGAUGACCAAGGCUAUGUUCAUCAACUCUCAACAAUUUUUAUGCCUCAUACUUUCUAUGUGUGAAGUUAUCACUAUCCAUAAGAUCAAUAUGAACUCUUUUGUUCUUUAUACUUUCUCAAGAUCAUAGCAACAUAGCAAAGCCCUUGACUCAACACUAAUCUUUAUUAUAGAUAGCACACGGACUCGAUUACAUAAAUAGAUCACAAUGCAAAACUCAAAACUACUCGAUAUCAAACUUCAAUCUACUAGAUCAAGAUAUUACUAAAAGGAUCGAACUAAAUAAAGCGGUAAAGAUAGGAGUGUGAUGGUGAUACGAUACCGGGGCACCUCCCCCAAGAUUGGCAGUUGCCAAGGGGAGUGCCCAUACCCAUGUGAUUAUUUCUCCUUCUUCACGGUUGGUGUUAUAAUCUUCUUUGCAAUGAUGCCCUUCAGGAUACGGUUCUCCUCCUCGAGCUUAUUAACUUGUUGUUUGAGGUCCAUAAUUUCUUUACGGAGCUUGCCCGUAACGGCCAAAGCUCCUUUUACCCAAGGAUGCUGCAUAGCUUCUGGAGAACACGUGAAACUCUUUUUCAUAUUUUCAUAAGAAAGAAAUCUAGAGUUGGAAGGGAUGACCGAAGCAGGGACAGCCAAGCUAGGUAGUUCCCCCAUAGUGAAUUCUGCUUGGAUACGAGAGGUAACUUCUUGAUCUUCCUCCAUGGCAUCUAUCCUUUUCAAAUCAGCCUCCAUCUCAUCCUCCGUUGAUGGUCCAAAGUGAUAGGCAUCGCUAUUUGCUCCUGGACCUGGCGUUGGGUGAGACACCCGACUCUCCCCAACUGAUUCCUGAGAAGACAUCUUGCUUUAUUCUGCAACAGGAACAACUCGAAACGAAAACAGAAUAUAUUUGCAUGAUACUGUGACGCCCGGAUAAUCAUGCUACAAUAAUCUCAUGUUAAUGGUGCCAUGUCACCUCGGUCACUGUAGUUAAUCUCGGGUUCAUUCAAAAACGUUUCAAAUUCAAAUUCAAAUUAAUGUCAAACGACAAAGUUUUCAAAAUAUUAAACUAAAAUGUUCGGGGUGUGCAGUUAAAUGCCUGGGUAAUUAUAAUAAAGCAAACACAUUUUUAUAAAAUGCCUAGAUAAUUUAAAAUGAUUUAAAACAGAAAAGAAGACAAAUAAAAGGAAAAGAAACUACAAAAUAGAAAACAAACAGAAAAGAUGAUGAGAGAAAGCCCCCCCGGGGCACCGGCCCAACUGGGCAAAGGCCCAGCCGCCCCACUUCCUCUCCUUAACCCCCCCGAAACCCUAGCCGUCUACCUAGUCGCCCCACUCACCCACUCUUCCCCCCACUCCCUCGACUGGAUCUAGAUCGGGGCAAACCCACGAUCCCAUCACCCAUCGCUGCGACGACCUCGCCGCCCCGCGCCAGGACGCCGCCGCCCGGAGCCCGCGCCAUCUCACCGGCCUGCCUCCUCUACCUCGCCGACGCCCUUCCCCACCGGCCUGCACCCGCUCCGCCGAUGCCGUCCCCGUCACCGCCCUCGACUACCGUUGCCCAGACCCUACGACUCCGGUGAGGCCACGGCCUCUGUGCCCCUCCUCUCUCUCCCUCGCCCCGUGCUCCGGCCUCCCCUCCCCUAGCUCAUUCGCCAUUGUCACCGCCGCUCGUCGUCGCGCUCCCGCCCUUGGCCGCAUCCCUUGCCGCGCCGAGACGUGCAGCCCCGCAUCCCGGGAGCCUUCCCUGGCCUACUGGCUCUAGCCGCCGCCCCUCCCCUUUGCUGCUACGGCCGCUCGUGCCCACACGGGCCGUGUUGCAGUCCCGUCGCGCCAAAGCUGCGCCUGCACCCCGCGCGCGCCUCCCGAGCCCUCGUCGGCCACGAGCCCGCUCACCCCAGCCGCUCCCCGCCGACCUGCUGCUGCCCCGUGGCGCCGCCCGGGCCCGGUGCCCCUAGGGCUCCAUUCACUCGCCCCCUCUGCUCAGGACCGCCCGCGGCCACCCCGUCGGCCACCGCGACCAUCUGCACCCGCCUCCGAGGCGUUGGCCCCCGCUCCACUCCCUCUCUUCGCCGCUGCCAUACGCAGUCGCCGGUCGUUGCCCACGCCGGCCACGCCCGCUCAGUCCCGCUCCGGCCGCGGCCUUACCUUGCCCCCCGGUUGGGCUCAGCCUCAGCACGGGCAACGCCAGCCACCCGCACGCCCCUGCCCGCUAACCCGCUAGGGCCCUCUGUGUCUAUGACGAAUGGGGCCCACGCCCCUUAGAACCUUUUUUUAAAGAGUAAAAAAAAUUAAUUAAUAAUAAGAAGAAAUAUAAAUGUUAAUUAAUUAAUUAAUUAAUUAAGUUAAUUAAUACUGUUUAGAUUCACCUAAUCACUAGUUAAAACUAAUUAAUUCUGUUUAGUUAGUCAAUGACAGCUGGGACCCACACGUCAGUUGACCAGUCAACGCCUCUGUUGAUUGCUGACGUCAGCAUGCACUAUUCUGGAUAAUGUUAGAAUUAAAUAAUUAAAUAAAAUCUAAAAAUGAAUUAAAUCUUUAAAAAUUAAUAUAAAAUAAUCCAUAAGCCGGAUGAAAAUACUUUGUACAUGAAAGUUGCUCAAAACGACGAGACGAAUUCGGAUACGCAACCCGUUUGUCCACCCCACAUCCCUAGCAUAGCGAACACGCAACUUUCCCCCUCCGAUUCAUCUGUCUGAAAACGUGAAACACGGGGAUACUUUCCCGGAUGUUCCCCCCUUCACCGGUAUCACCUCCUACUGUGUUAGGUCACCUCUAGCACCGCGUAUUACCAUGCUACGCUUUGUGAUACUUUGAUUGCUCAGUUAUUUAUUGUGUUCACCCUCCAUUACUUCUUUCCGGUAAACCCGAGACUGCCGACGACCCCCAGUUCGACUACGGAGUUGACGACCCCUCCUUGCCAGAGCAACCAGGCAAGCCCCCCCCUUUGAUCACCAGAUAUCGCCUAUUCUACCCUCUACCGCUUGCAUUAGAGUAGUGUAGCAUGUUACUGUUUCGAUUAAUCCUAUUCUAUUGCAUAGCAUGUCAUUGUUGCUACAUCUGCUGAUACCUUACCUGCAAUCCUAAAUGCUUAGUAUAGGAUGCUAGUUUACCAUUAGUGGCCCUACAUUCUUGUCAGUCUGCCAUGCUAUACUAUCGGGCUGUGAUCACUCGGGAGGUGAUCACGGGUAUAUACUAUACAUACAUACAUACUAUACAGAUGGUGACUAAAGUCGGGCCAGCUCGUUGAGUACCCGCAAGUGAUCCCGAUGUGGGGGCUGAAAGGACAGGUGGCUCCAUCCCGGUAGAUGUGGGCCUGGGUUCCCGACGGCCCCCGACUGUUACUUUGUGGCGGAGCGACAGGGCAGGUUGAGACCACCUAGGAGACAGGUGGGCCUGGCCCUGGUCGGCGUUCGCGGUUGCUUCAUAAUAACACGCUUAACGAGAUCUUGGUAUUUGAUCUGAGUCUGGCUACUGGCCUAUACGCACUAACCAACUACGCGGGAACAAUUAUGGGCACUCGACGUCGUGGUAUCAGCCGAAGCCUUCUUGACGUCAGCGACUGAGCGGCGCGCGCCGGAUUGGACCGCGUAACGUGACUUCCUUUGUAAUGGAGGUUGCUAGGUCUGCUUCCGGCCGCCCUCGCAACGUGCAGGUGUGCAAUGGGCGAUGGGCCCAGACCCCUGCGCGCAUCGGAUUUAGACCGGCGGGCUGACCUCUCUGUUGUGCCUAGGUGGGGCUGCGACGUGUUGAUCUUCCGAGGCCGGGCAUGACCCAGGAAAGUGUGUCCGACCAAAUGUGAUCGAGCGUGUUGGGUUAUGUGGUGCACCCCUGCAGGGAAGUUAAUCUAUUCGAAUAGCCGUGAUCUUCGGUAACAGGACGACUUGGAGUUGUACCUUGACCUUAUGACAACUAGAACCGGAUACUUAAUAAAACACACCCUUCCAAGUGCCAGAUACAACUCGGUGAUCGCUCUCUAACAGGGCGACGAGGAGAGGAUCGCCGGGUAGGAUUAUGCUAUGCGUUGCUACUUGGAGGACUUCAAUCUACUCUCUUCUACAUGCUGCAAGACGGAGACUGCCAGAAGCAUAGUCUUCAAUAGGACUAGCUAUCCCCCUCUUAUUCUGGCAUUCUGCAGUUCAGUCCACUGAUAUGGCCUCCUUACCCAUAUACCCAUGCAUAUGUAGUGUAGCUCCUUGCUUGCGAGUUCUUCGGAUGAGUACUCACAGUUGCUUUGCUCCCUCUUUUACCCCGUUUUCCUCUUCUUCUCAGAUGUCGCAACCAGACGUUGGAGCCCAGGAGCCAGACGCCACCGUCGAUGACGACUACUACACUGGAGGUGCCUACUACUACGUGCAGGCGGCUGACGACGACCAGGAGUAGUUAGGAGGAUCCCAGGCAGGAGGCCUGCGCCUCUUUCGAUCUGUAUCCCAGUUUGUGCUAGCCUUCUUAAGGCAGACUUGUUUACUUAUGUCUGUACUCAGAUAUUGUUGCUUCCGCUGACUCGUCUAUGACCGAGCACUUGUAUUCGAGCCCUCGAGGCCCCUGGCUUGUAUUAUGAUGCUUGUAUGACUUAUUUAUGUUUUUAGAGUUGUGUUGUGAUAUCUUCCCGUGAGUCCUUGAUCUUGAUCGUACACGUUUGCGUGCAUGAUUAGUGUACGAUUGAAUCAGGGGCGUCACAAGUUGGUAUCAGAGCCGACUGCCAGUAGGAAUCCCUGUUCCCAACUCUUUGGCCGAAGUUGAGUCUAGUCGAUGAAUUUUUUUUACUAACUUGGCUGUGCAGCCCGUGGGCCCAUGUCGCCAUUGGGUGGUAUUAGGAUCUUUUAUUCCUCGACCUAUACUCUGGGACUCUGAUCACUCUUCUAUUCGGGUUAAAUGAUUUUGCUAAAAAAACAAAACUAACUUUAGGUUCUCGAAAAUACUUUCUCCCGGAGAGCCCCUCACUCCCGAUGAUUGUUUGCUACUCCAGAAGAUUCCGAAGAUACUCGCUGAAGUUCUCUCGAGACUUUGUGCCCACUUCUUUUGCAAUUCCCUACCAUCGAUAAAUCCUUUUGGAUAACUUAUUACCCUUGCCAUUCUUACAUUCAUCCCUAGCUGCUCUUGUUAUUACAAGAUGCAUCGAAUUGUUCUUCGUCUUUUAAGAAUCUUUUGAUGCCAUUGCAUUGCAGAUCUUUGCCACAUGAAUACCCCCUAUGGAUAAUUCCUCAUGCUUACCGAGUAUCCGUUCUUCCUCCAUUGUUCAUGUGUUCCACAAUGGUCUUCGAAAUACUAUUCGAUCCUCCAAAAAUCCUUAGUAGCUUAUUGCUCUGCAAUACUUGUCUGCUUGCAUUGUGGAUACUUUCCAUAUGUCUGGCAAUAUUCGUUAGCAUCCUUAGGCACCAUCAUUUUGAUCCUAUUGAUUCAACAUGAGUGCGAAUGCACGCAAUCAUUAGUUGAUCCUUUUAAAUUAUCUUUCCGACUCAGAGGUCACUUUAAACAUGAGCUUGAUCUCGACCAAACAAAUUGUUGUCGAUCUUACCCCUAAGCUUACUCAACCUAUCCAUCCUUAAUCAGAGCGUUUGCUUCUGAUCCUUUGAUUUGGUAAUCAUAAUUCCUUUACAUGUGAGCUUUGAAUUAGUCAGUUGCUUCUAUAAUCCAAUGCCUUCACAUUGUUUCUUCCUCUAGUUGUGUGCCGAUACUCACAUCAGUUUCACUAUGGACCGUUGGAUCCUUUGUUGAAAUAUCAUCCGACAGUGUCCUUCGUAUACAAAAAUCUCGAGAAGUUCUUUCGUGGUACAUAAUGCCUUGAGUAAAUUGUAUCCUCUGCUUUGUCAACCAUGCUCUGCUAUCGAGCUUGUGUCAUUUACUCCUGAAGUUUGUGGUAUAUGUUCCUAAGAGGCCCCGAUGGGUUGGACAUCUGCCUUCUCUAAACUGUGUGAACCCGGAAACUACUACGGGUCAUACUCUACUAGUGUUAUGUCAGAUAAAAUUUCAACACACAAUUUCGUUGAAGGCGAGAAGUGAAUGAAAGGUUAUGCAUUAAAGAAGUGGGAGUCGACCUUGAACUUUGUGUUCAUGCCCAUGGACACGAUGUAGAUCUUAUCAUUAAAAGCUUCUCUUAAAUUAAUUAUUCCCUUGGUAUAAGUUCAUCUUAUAUCUGGGAUCUGGCCUUUUGCAAUCGUGGUUCUGACCAUAUGUUCUUCCUUGAUCCCAUUUCUUGGGCAAGUUUAAACACUUGUCCUCUGCAAAGCAAUACCCUAGACCAACCUCUACUUUGGUCUGUCGUCGAGUAUUACCCUUGGUAUCUCGAGGAUAUCAUGCCAUUGCACUACAUUACCCCGUCCUUUGAUGGAGUACUACCUUUACCCUGUCUUUGUCACUUCAUGCUUCUGGGUUGUAUGUUAACCGAGAACACUGAUAAGUGAAUCGAUUCAGCACUCCGAUUCAAUAAAUCUAAGUAAUUUUCGUUGCUUACGAGUUUAAUAAUCCUUUAAGUCAUUCCUAGCCUGAUCAGCUAUAUCAUCAUCAUACUAAUUUUUUUAACUGUGCUACCUGGUCCUUAUUCCCGGAGCACAACUUUCAAUGAUGAACUAAGCUUGCGUCGAUUUUCAUCGUCAUAUCAUUUCUCCUUGAACAACAAACUUGAUUUCGAGUUUGUGUCCUAACCGUGGUUCCAAUAACCUUUUGCUUCAUCAUUUGUUUGACUUGAUGUCAUCGUCGAUAGAUUACAUCUUCGUGUAACCUCUCGACAAAUGUGUCGUGAUCAUCAUCAACCUUAUGAGCUCUUCCAGGAUAUCAAUCGGAUUCAUUAUGAGAAAUACCAUCCUUACCUCGAUGAUUUGUGUUAUCAUCAACCACUUUAUUGCCUUCCCUCCAACACAAACUUGUUUGUGUUUUGUGUUAUACCUUGAGUUCCUUGCUACCCAGCAUUGUUCUUCUUUACCUUGGAGUAUUACCAUCUUUUAUGUCAAGAAUGUCAUGAGGAUUACUCCACCUCUUAAGAAUUCUUGGUAUAGUGAUACUUCUCACCAUCACCAUUCUUUCUUGGUUCCCGUGUUGAUUCUAACUGGGGUACCAACAAGUGAACAGUGCUGUUUGGAUUCUGUACUUCUGGCAACCCUAAUGCUUUGAAGUUAAUGAUCGACAAUUCAUUCUUAGACCAAUGGUUAUCGAAUUACCAUUCUAACCUUGAUCGUGCUAUCGAGCCCAUAUUUCGGGUGCAACUUUCAACCAAUGUUUAAAUAUGUAUGUUUUGCUCGAGCAUAAAUCAUUAUAUCAUUUGAUCUGACAAAUGAUAUAUCCUUGUUCACAUAAUUGUGGAAAUACAUCUUUUUGGAAAUCUCGAUGAGUUGUCGCGAGUCCAUCAGCCACCUCCUCGUCCUCUCCUUAGUUUAAUGAUGAACUCUCGCUUCGGAACUCACUCCCAUAGUUCAUUCCCCGAGUCUGAGAUAUCCUGACACCAAUCAGAUCUGAAUCUCGGUCAGAUAUGAUGAUUGGAACAUAUUUCCAAGAGUUAUAACAAUGGUCUUUAUGUGACCCGGUAAGGUGCUAUCGUGCCUAGCACACUUGGCCGGAGGCCUAUUGUUAUAGUUUCCUUUUUAUCAAGGUUAUCCAUUCUUCCAUGAGGAAAUUGUAAGACUUAUUCUAUAAGUUGUUCCUGAGGAAUCCUUUGAGUAUCCAAAGUCCGACCUCCCUUGAAAGACCAUGUCAAUGCUAUCUCGAAGCAAGUUUGUGGUACUCAAGAACAUUUGAAGCACAAUACUAAAUUUUCUUUAUCAAUUAUUCAAACACUGUUGUUUGGGUAAUGUCAUGAGAUUCCUCUCCCCUUACCUAAAUGGUUUUGUUACUUCUAUCCUGUCAUGGAUAUCAUGCUCUGUUUGUCCUUGGGAAGGAAAUACCCCUGAAAUAUGUGUUUUAACACAUUUUCCUUUCCAUUGUUCUGUUUAAUCUGAUAAUCAUAUUUUCCUUUACAUUGUUUGGUUUAACCUUUCUUGUGAUCUAUAUGACCUAAGCAAUAAUAUUCUCCUGCUUACGUAAACACCUCGUGGUACCGCUCUGUCAGUAAGACCCUGUUUCUACUGUUGAUGACAUUUCGGUAGCCACCGACGGACGGGAACUUUGCCUAUUGGUCCGCCUCGUUCAACAAGCAGGAAAAUGGUUCUCUUUGUCCCUCGCCCUUGGUAUCGACGUUGUUGCCGACAUAAUCGACAGGCUACCCUCUGACAUGCCUUGCUUGCAUGAUCACGCAAGACGUCUCCGCCCUUCCUACUUUAACCCACAUGGUGGGCCCAUAACCCACAGUUCCAUAGGAUCGAAACCUGACUCCCCUGUACACCCCCUGUUACCAUAGUUAUUCCUCGCGCGUGGCCUCGUAAGUAAUUCGCGGGCCACCUUUCGAGAGAUCAUCAAUAUUGGUAUCAGACGCAAUACUUAUUCCCAUUGCUCUAAACCCCUUUCACACUCUGUUUCAGGCAAUGAACAAUUGCCUAUCGAUUUGAAACUUCUCAUGGUACCUUCUUACUUUGCUCCCGAUAAACUUCUUCAUGAUGACCUGAAGCAGACGACUGAAGACAUCAACGUAAUGGAUCGACCUCUUCGAGAACAGCAACUAUGACCGAGAAGAAUAGUUAGAAUUUCGUAACCAGAUCUCCCCCCUAUAACCAGUCCUAAAUCUCGGGACGACAUUUCUUGUAGUGGAGGAGAAUUGUGACGCCCGGAUAAUCAUGCUACAAUAAUCUCACGUUAAUGGUGCCAUGUCACCUCGGUCACUAUAGUUAAUCUCGGGUUGAUUCGAAAACGUUUCAAAUUCAAAUUCAAAUUAAUGUCAAACGACAAAGUUUUCAAAAUAUUAAACUAAAAUGUUCGGGGUGUGCAGUUAAAUGCCUGGGUAAUUAUAAUAAAGCAAACACAUUUUUAUAAAAUGCCUAGAUAAUUUAAAAUGAUUUAAAACAGAAAAGAAGACAAAUAAAAGGAAAAGAAACUACAAAACAGAAAACAAAAAGAAAAGAUGAUGAGAGAAAGCCCCCCCGAGGCACCGGCCCAACUGGGCAAAGGCCCAGCCGGCCCACNNNNNNNNNNNNNNNNNNNNNNNNNNNNNNNNNNNNNNNNNNNNNNNNNNNNNNNNNNNNNNNNNNNNNNNNNNNNNNNNNNNNNNNNNNNNNNNNNNNNNNNNNNNNNNNNNNNNNNNNNNNNNNNNNNNNNNNNNNNNNNNNNNNNNNNNNNNNNNNNNNNNNNNNNNNNNNNNNNNNNNNNNNNNNNNNNNNNNNNNNNNNNNNNNNNNNNNNNNNNNNNNNNNNNNNNNNNNNNNNNNNNNNNNNNNNNNNNNNNNNNNNNNNNNNNNNNNNNNNNNNNNNNNNNNNNNNNNNNNNNNNNNNNNNNNNNNNNNNNNNNNNNNNNNNNNNAACCCCCGAUCCCAUCGCCCAUCGCCGCGACGACCUCGCCACCCCGCGCCAGGAUGCCGCCGCUCGGAGCCCGCGCCAUAUCGCCGGCCUGCCUCCUCUACCUCGCCGGUGCCCUUCCCCACCGGCCUGCACCCGCUCCGCCGACGCCGUCCCCGUCACCCCUCUCGACUACCGUUGCCCAGACCCUACGACUCCGGUGAGGCCACGGCCUCUGCGCCCCUCCUCUCUCUCCCUCGCCCCGUGCUCCGGCCUCCCCUCCCCUAGCUCGUUCCCCAUUGUCACCGACGCUCGUCGUCCCGCUCCCGCCCUUGGCCGCAUCCCUUGCCGCGCCGAGACGUGUAGCCCCGCAUCCCGGGGGCCUUCCCUGGCCUGCUGGCUCUAGCCGCCGCCCCUCCCCUUUGCUGCUGUGGCCGCUCGUGCCCACACGGGCCGCGUUGCAGUCCCGUCGCGCCAAAGCUGCGCCUGCACCCCGCACGCGCCUCGCGAGCCCUCGUCGUCCACGAUCCCGCUCACCCCAGCCGCUCACCGCCGACUUGCUGCUGCCCCGUGGCACCGCCCGGGCCCGGCGCCCCAGGGGCUCCAUUCACUUGCCCCCUCUGCUCAGGACCGCCCGCGGCCACCCCGUCGUCCACCGCGACCAUCUGCACCCGCCUCCGAGGCGUUGGCCCCCGCUCCACUCCCUCCCUUCGCCGCUGCCAUACGCAGUCGCCGGUCGUCACCCACGCCGGCCACGCCCGCUCAAUCUAGCUCCGGCCGCGGCCUUGCCUUGCCCCCCCGGUUGGGCUCGGCCUCAGCACGGGCAACGCCAGCCACCCGCACACCCCUGCCCGCUAACCCGCUAGGGCCCUCUGUGUCUAUGACGAAUGGGGCCCACGCCCCUUAGAACCUUUUUUUUAAAGAGUAAAAAAAAUUAAUUAAUAAUAAGAAGAAAUAUAAAUGUUAAUUAAAUAAUUAAUUAAUUAAGUUAAUUAAUACUGUUUAGAUUAACCUAAUCACUAGUUAAAACUAAUUAAUUCUGUUUAGUUAGUCAAUGACAGCUGGGACCCACACGUUAGUUGAGUAGUCAACGCCUCUGUUGACUGCUGACGUCAUGCUGACGUCAGCAUGCACUAUUCUGGAUAAUGUUAGAAUUAAAUAAAAUCUAAAAAUGAAUUAAAUCUUUAAAAAUUAAUAUAAAAUAAUCCGUAAGCCGGAUGAAAAUACUUUGUACAUGAAAGUUGCUCAAAACGACGAGACGAAUUCGGAUACGCAACCCGUUUGUCCACCCCAGAUCCCUAGCAUAGCGAACACGCAACUUUCCCCCUCCGGUUCAUCUGUCUGAAAACGUGAAACACCGGGGAUACUUUCCCGGAUGUUCCCCCCUUCACCGGUAUCACCUCCUACUGCGUUAGGUCACCUCUAGCACCGCGUAUUACCAUGCUACGCUUUGUGAUACUUUGAUUGCUCAGUUAUUUAUUGUGUUCCCCCUCCGUUACUUCUUUCCGGUAAACCCCGAGACUGCCGACGACCCCCAGUUCGACUACGGAGUUGACGACCCCUCCUUGCCAGAGCAACCAGGCAAGCCCCCCCCCUUUGAUCACCAGAUAUCGCCUAUUCUACCCUCUACCGCUUGCAUUAGAGUAGUGUAGCAUGUUACUGUUUCGAUUAAUCCUAUUCUAUUGCAUAGCAUGUCAUUGUUGCUACAUCUGCUGAUACCUUACCUGCAAUCCUAAAUGCUUAGUAUAGGAUGCUAGUUUACCAUUAGUGGCCCUACAUUCUUGUCAGUCUGCCAUGCUAUACUAUCGGGCUGUGAUCACUCGGGAGGUGAUCACGGGUAUAUACUAUACAUACAUACAUACUAUACAGAUGGUGACUAAAGUCGGGUCAGCUCGUUGAGUACCCGCAAGUGAUCCCGAUGUGGGGGCUGAAAGGACAGGUGGCUCCAUCCCGGUAGAUGUGGGCCUGGGUUCCCGACGGCCCCCGACUGUUACUUUGUGGCGGAGCGACAGGGCAGGUUGAGACCACCUAGGAGACAGGUGGGCUUGGCCCUGGUCGGCGUUCGCGGUUGCUUCAUAAUAGCACGCUUAACGAGAUCUUGGUAUUUGAUCUGAGUCUGGCUACUGGCCUAUACGCACUAACCAACUACGCGGGAACAGUUAUGGGCACUCGACGUCAUGGUAUCAGCCGAAGCCUUCUUGACGUCAGCGACUGAGCGGCGCGCGCCGGAUUGGACCGCGUAACGUGACUUCCUUUGUAAUGGAGGUUGCUAGGUCUGCUUCCGGCCGCCCUCGCAACGUGCAGGUGUGCAAUGGGCGAUGGGCCCAGACCCCUGCGCGCAUCGGAUUUAGACCGGCGGGCUGACCUCUCUGUUCUGCCUAGGUGGGGCUGCGACGUGUUGAUCUUCCGAGGCCGGGCAUGACCCAGGAAAGUGUGUCCGGCCAAAUGGGAUCGAGCGUGUUGGGUUAUGUGGUGCACCCCUGCAGGGAAGUUAAUCUAUUCGAAUGGCCGUGAUCUUCGGUAACAGGACGACUUGGAGUUGUACCUUGACCUUAUGACAACUAGAACCGGAUACUUAAUAAAACACACCCUUCCAAGUGCCAGAUACAACCCGAUGAUCGCUCUCUAACAGGGCGACGAGGAGAGGAUCGCCGGGUAGGAUUAUGCUAUGCGUUGCUACUUGGAGUACUUCAAUCUACUCUCUUCUACAUGCUGCAAGAUGGAGGCUGCCAGAAGCGUAGUCUUCGAUAGGACUAGCUAUCCCCCUCUUAUUCUGGCAUUCUGCAGUUCGGUCCACUGAUAUGGCCUCCAUACACAUAUACCCAUGCAUAUGUAGUGUAGCUCCUUGCUUGCGAGUACUUCGGAUGAGUACUCACGGUUGCUUUGCAAACUCUUUCCCCCCGUUUUCCUCUUCUUCUCGGAUGCCGCAACCAGACAUUGGAGCCCAGGAGCCAGAGGCCACCGUCGACGACGACUACUACACUAGAGGUGCCUACUACUACGUGCAGGCGGCUGACGACGACCAGGAGUAGUUAGGAGGAUCCCAGGCAGGAGGCCCGCGCCUCUUUCGAUCUGUAUCCCAGUUUGUGCUAGCCUUCUUAAGGCAGACUUGUUUACUUAUGUCUGUACUCAGAUAUUGUUGCUUCCGCUGACUCAUCUAUGAUCGAGCACUUGUAUUUGAGCCCUCGAGGCCCCUGGCUUGUAUUAUGAUGCUUGUAUGACUUAUUUAUGUUUUUAGAGUUGUGUUGUGAUAUCUUCCCGUGAGUCCCUGAUCUUGAUCGUACACGUUUGCGUGCAUGAUUAGUGUACGAUUGAAUCGGGGGCGUCACAGAUACGGUGGUCAAAACCUUCGGGAGUAUAUAUAAUGAAUUUUUACCGACCAAAAUACAUAACAUACAAGAAAACGGAGUCCGGGAGGCACACGAGGUGCCCACGAGACAGGGGGCGCGCCCUACAGGGGGCGGCCUCCUCUCUCGUGGGAGCCUCAUGUCCCUUUCGGACUACUUCUUUCUUCCUAAAAUUCUUAAAUAAUCCAAAACUGAUAAAAAUUGCCAUUAGAGUUGUUUUGGAGUCGGUUUACUUACCGUAUCGCGUACCUAUGCCUUUUCGGAGUCUGGAACGUUCUGGAAAGUGUCCCUUAUGUAUUCCUCAGGGGUUAUGGUUUCAAUAAUAUUAGUUUCAACAUUGAUAGGAUUACCUGAAAUAUAAUGUUUAAUUCUUUGACCGUUUACCACCCUCGGAUUUGUGCCUUCGAAGUUGUUGAUUUUUAUAGCACCAGAACGAUAGACCUCCUCGAUAACGUAGGGACCUUCCCAUUUUGAGAGAAGUUUUCCUGCAAAAAAUCUUAAACGAGAGUUGAACAAUAACACAUAAUCUCCUAUGUUAAACUCAUGCUUUUGUAUCCUCUUAUCAUGCCAGCGUUUGACUUUUUCUUUGAAAAGCUUGGCAUUCUCAUAUGCUUGGGUUCUCCAUUCAUCAAGUGAGCUAAUAUCAAACAACCUCUUUUCACCGGCAAGUUUGAAGUCAUAAUUGAGCUCUUUAAUAGCCCAAUAUGCUUUAUGUUCAAGUUCAAGAGGUAAAUGACAUGCUUUUUCAUAAACCAUCUUAUAAGGAGACAUACCCAUAGGAUUUUUGUAUGCAGUUCUAUAGGCCCAUAAUGCGUCAUCAAGUUUUUUAGACCAAUUCUUUCUAGAUCUAUUCACAGUCUUUUGUAAAAUUAAUUUGAGCUCUCUAUUGCUCAACUCUACUUGACCACUAGACUGCGGGUGAUAAGGAGAUGCGAUUCUAUGAUUGACAUCAUACUUAGCGAGCAUCUUACGGAAAGCACCAUGAAUAAAGUGUGAACCACCAUCAUUCAUAAGAUAUCUAGGGACUCCAAACCUUGAAAAAAUAACUUCUUUAAGCAUUUUAAUAGAAGUGUUAUGAUCAGCACUACUAGUUGGAAUAGCUUCUACCCACUUAGUAACGUAAUCAACAGCAACUAGAAUAUGUGUAUAACCAUUGGAGGCAGGAAAAGGUCCCAUAUAAUCAAAGCCCCAAACAUCAAACAGUUCAAUAACAAGAGAAUAAUUCAUAGGCAUUUCUUGACGUCUACUGAUGUUACCUAUUCUUUGACAUUCAUCACAAGAUAAGACAAACUUACGAGCAUCUUUGAAGAGAGUAGGCCAAUAAAAGCCAGAUUGUAAUACCUUGUGUGUAGUUCUGUCUCUAGCAUGGUGUCCUCCAUAGGAUUCAGAGUGACACUUGCGUAGGAUUUGUUCCUGUUCAUGAUCAGGCACACAACGUCUAAUAAUACCAUCUACUUCUUCUUUAUAAAGGUGUGGAUCAUCCCAUAAUUAAUGUCUUAAAUCAUAAAAGAACUUUUUCUUUUGCUGGUAUGUGAAACUAGGCGGUAUAUAUUUAGCAACAAUGUAAUUAGCAUAGUCAGCAUACCAAGGAGCAGUACGAGAAGCAUUGACAACCGCUAAUUGUUCAUCAGUGAAACUAUCAUUAAUAGGCAGUGGGUCAUCAAGAAUAUUCUAUAACCUAGACAAGUUGUCUGCAACGGGGUUCUCAGCUCCCUUUCUAUCAAUAAUAUGCAAGUCAAAUUCUUGGAGCAAGAGAACCCAUCUAAUGAGUCUAGGCUUAGCAUCUUUCUUUUCCAUAAGAUAUUUAAUAACAACAUGAUCAGUGUGAAUAAUAACUUUGGAAUCAACAAUAUAUGGUCUAAACCUAUCAAAUGCAAACACAACUGCUAAGAACUCUUUUUCAGUAGUAGCAUAAUUUCUCUGGGCAGUAUCAAGAGUCUUACUAGCAUACUGGAUAACAUUCAAUUUCUUAUCGUCUCUUUGUCCUAAAACAGCACCUACAACAUAAUCACUAGCAUCGCACAUAAUUUCAAAAGGUAAAUUCCAAUCAGGUGGCUGAACAAUAGGUGCAGUGAUCAAAGCUUUCUUGAGUGUUUCAAAUGUUUCUACACAAUCAUCAUCAAAGACAAAAGGAAUAUCUUUUUGCAAAAAAUUAGUCAGAGGCCUAGAGAUUUUAGAAAAGUCCUUAAUGAACCUCCUAUAAAAGCCGGCAUGACCAAGGAAACUUCUUAUACCUUUUAUGUCCUUGGGACAUGGCAUCUUUUCAAUAGCAUCAACUUUGGCUUUAUCAACUUCAAUACCUCUCUCGGAGAUUUUGUGCCCCAAGACAAUGCCUUCAUUAACCAUAAAGUGACACUUUUCCCAAUUCAGGACGAGACUAGUGUCUUCGCAUCUCUGCAAAACUCGAUCAAGGUUGCUCAAACAAUCAUCAAAAGAGGAUCCAUAGACGGAGUAGUCAUCCAUGAAUACCUCACAAAUCUUUUCACAAAAAUUAGAAAAUAUAGCCAUCAUGCAUCUUUGAAAGGUAGCAGGUGCAUUACAUAAACCAAAAGGCAUACGUCUAUAAGCAGAAGUACCAAAAGGGCAAGUAAAAGUAGUUUUAGAUUGAUCCUUUGCGGACACAGGUAUUUGAGAGAAGCCAGAAUAACCAUCUAGAAAGCAAAAAUGUGUGUGUUUGGAUAGCCUUUCUAGUAUUUGAUCAAUAAAAGGUAAAGGGUAAUGAUCUUUCUUAGUAGCUUUAUUUAACUUACGGAAAUCAAUUACCAUCCUAUAGCCUGUAAUAAUUCUUUGCGGGAUCAAUUCAUCUUUAUCAUUAGGAACAAUGGUAAUACCUCCCUUUUUAGGGACACAGUGGACAGGGCUUACCCAUUCACUAUCAGCAACGGGAUAAAUAAUACCUGCCACAAGGAGCUUUAGUAUCUCCUUUCUUACCACUUCCUUCAUUUUGGGAUUUAAUCGUCUUUGAGGAUCUCUAACUGGUUUGGCAUCUUUCUCCACUGAAAUUUUGUGUUGACAUAAUGUGGGGCUAAUGCCCUUAAGAUCAUCCAGAAUAUAUCCAAUAGAAGCUUGGUGCUUCUUCAGAGUUUUCAAUAACCUUUCUUCUUCUUUCUCUGAAAGGUUAGCACUAAUAAUAACAUGAUAUAUUUCUUUUUCAUCAAGAUAAGCAUACUUAAGAUUAUCAGGUAAGGGUUUGAGUUCAAACACGGGAUCACCCUUGGGUGGAGGGGGAUCCCCAAGAAUUUCAACGGGAAGGUUAUGUUUUAGCAUAGGUUCUUGUUUAAGGAACACUUCAUCUAUUUCUUCCCUUUCCUUCAUAAACAUAUCGUUUUCAUGGUCUAACAAAUAUUGUUCUAACGGAUCAGUUGGAGGAACAGCAAUGGAAGCAAGACCAAUAAUUUCAUCCUUACUAGGUGGUUCCCUUUCACGAGGUUGUCUACUAAACUUAGCGAAAUUAAACUCAUGAGACAUACCAUCUAUGCCAACAAUGACAAUAUUCUUUUCACAAUUAAUCUUAGCACUAGCAGUAUUCAAGAAAGGUCUACCAAAAAUAAUGGGACAAAAAUCAUCUUGUGGGGAAGCAAGAACAAGAAAAUCAGCAAGGUAUUUAAUCUUCCCACACAAGACUUCAACAUCUCUAACAAUACCAGUAGGUUUAAUGGUGUCCCUAUUAGCAAGCUUAAUAGUAACAUCAAUGUCUUCUAAUUCAACAGGUGCAAUAUCGUGCAUAAUUUCUUUGUAAAGAUCAUAAGUUAUCGCACUAGCACUAGCACCCAUAUCACAUAAGCCAUGAUAACAAUGAUCUCCUAUUUUACCAAAAAUAACAGGCGUGCCUACAACAGGUCUAUGUGUCUUAGUAUCGGGUCUAGCAAUAUUAGCAGUUUCACCCAAGAAAGAGAUAACAGGCCCAUCUAAGUCCUCAUCCAAGAGAUCUUUAAUCAUAGCACUACCAGGUUCAACAUUAAUUUUCUCAGGAGGUGUGUAGGUCCUAGUAUUACUCUUACGAACAAUAGUCGAAGCUUUAGCAUGAUCUUUUAUCCUAACAGGAAAAGGAGGUUUUUCGACAUAAGCAGUAGGAAUAAUAGGAUCACUAUAUGUAAUAGUCUUUUCUUCGACUGUAAUGGGUGCAACUACUUUCACUUCAAUAGGAGGAUUAUAUUUAAUCCACUUCUCUUUAGGGAGAUCAACGUGAGUAGCAAAGGUUACACAAAAAGUAGCUACUAUCUCAGAGUCAGGUCGAUACUUAGAGCUAAAUCCGCGGAAAGCAUCGGUAUCCAUAAAAGAUUUAACACAAUCAAACUUAGGUGUCAUACCUGACUCCUUACCAUCGUCGGAACCCCAAUCUUCAGAGUUGCGUUUAAUUCUUUCCAAUAAGUCCCAUUUUAAAUCAAUAGUCUUCAGCAUAUAGGAAGCAUCACAGGAAGUAUCGAGCAAGUUGUGAUUAUGAAGAGAAAGCCGAGCAUAAAAAUUCCGAAUAAUCAUUUCCCAAGAGAGCUCAUGAUUGGGGCAUGAAUACAACAUUAACUUAAGCCUCCCCCAAGCUUGAGCGAUGAUUUCUCCUUCGCGAGGCCAGAAAUUAUAUAUGUAAUUACGAUCACGAUGAGCAAGAUGCAUAAGAUAGAACUUCUAGUGAAAUUCCAACUUCAAUCGCUUAUAAUUCCAAUAUCUCGUAUCAUCACAUAGCCUAUACCAUGUCAUUGCAUCUCCUUUCAAAGAUAAAGGGAAGACCUUCCUUUUGACAACAUCAUCGGGAAUACCUGCAAGCUUAAAUAAUCCACAAACUUCAUCCACAAAGAUAAGGUGUAAGUCGGGAUGCAUUGUUCCGUCUCCUGCAAAAGGAUUAACUAGCAGUUUUUCUAUCAUACCCGAAGGAAUCUCAAAGUGAACAUUUUCAUAAAGUUCAGUAGGUUGAGGAGCAUCUCUUUGCUCUUCUGGUUGGGGUGAAGAUACCCCAAACAGGCCCCUCAAAGGAUUAGUUUCCAUAGUGACAAGUAACAGAAAAUUUCAGCACACUAUAUAAAUGUUUCCUUACCAAGUUCCACUCACCAAAAGCGCUACACUCCCCGGCAACGGCGCCAGAAAAGAGUCUUGAUGACCCACAAGUAUAGGGGAUCUAUCGUAGUCCUUUCGAUAAGUAAGAGUGUCGAACCCAACGAGGAGCAGAAGGAAAUGAUAAGCGGUUUUCAGUAAGGUUUUCUCUGCAAGCACUGAAAUAAUAGGUGAUAGAUAGUUUUGUGAUAAGAUAAAUAGUAACAAGCAAAAAGUAAAUAAAGUGCAGUAAGGUGGCCAAAUACUUUAUGUAGCGAAGGAUAAGCCUGGACAAAUUCUAAUAAUGAAGAAGGAGCUCCCGAGGACACAUUGUGAUGUAGGGUGGAACCCUAUAGCGUCGAUCUUUCACGUUUGGAGUGGAUCCUAUGGGGGAAUCACGAAGAACACGCGGAAGCACAAGGGAAAACACGGGGAAAACGAGAGAGAAUCACUCAACCAACAAGGAAUCGAUCACACAAGUGCUAGAUCACCACACACAUAAGAGAUCCACAAGAUACAAAGUCAACUAAGGUAAUGAUACAAAGGAACCGUUCAUCUCCAAGAGGAGGCCUUGAUGUUCUUCCCUAAAGAGGGGUCUUGAAUCCGCUUGGGGGAUCUUCUUCGAAGAGGUCGUGAUCUCCGAGGAGAAGUAUCCAAGUGGAUGAGAAAAGGCUCUCACACAAAUAUGAGCUAAUCCAAUGCUAACCCUCAAAAUGGGGAGGAGGAGGUCUAUUUAUAGUGCUAAGCCACAAAGGGGUAAGUGAGGGGCGAAGGGGUACACGGGCCUCGGCCCAAGUCAUGCGCGCAGGCAAGGCCGGAUGAUCCGGACGGGGUCCCGGAUGAUCCGGGCGUCAGGGGUCCGGAUGAUCCGGAUGGAGUCCCGGAUGAUCCGGCUUCGAUGGAAGCCUUCGGGUGUCUUCGGCGCAGUUAUCCGGACGAUCCGGGGGAGGGUCCGGAUGAUCCGGCUGAGCCCGGAUGAUCCGGACGGCGGUCCGGAUGUCCGGCCUGGCUCCAACAGCCGCUCCAUCUUCUUCUUCUCCUUUCUUCCGUCUUCUCUUCCAUGCUUGGCCUUGGUCCUUGGAUUCUCCAUGGUCAUCUUGGUUGUACCUGAGUGUAUGCAAGGUCCAUGCAUGAGGUAGUAGCCAUGUCUCAUAUGCGGAAAGUGACGGUUCGAAGAGGAGUGAAUUCACCUUGUGUCCAAUGGCGUAUGUUCGAGGUCUCGUCAUAUGUCCUCUUGGGGCUUGGAGAGUAGUCGGAGUGUACAUGGGGAUGAACGUGGGAUGCUCCGCAUCAUAUCCCCCCCCCCCUUGGGAAAUAUCCGACCUCGGAUCGUGAUCCUCAUCACCAUGGAAACGGUUGUCGUAGACGGACUUGUAGUUGGACGAAGUUGAAGACAUGGUGCAAUCCGCGUAGUCCAAGGUGUCGCCGGAGUGAUAGACAUGCAAAAAGAGCAAACACAAGCAACACUCGGAAAUACAAUGGUUAGCGCACACAAAGUGUCCAUCAUGUAAGAAUGAGUCCGUGCGGCAAGAUUGGUUGUGACAAAGCGCAUGAAGCUUAUCAAGAUGAUCUAGAAUGAGAUGCAAAGCAUUCAUGGGAGGAAAUGCAAUCAUUGUGCACACAAAUGUGUUGUAAAUAUGAUUAAUGCAACCACGGUGCAAAAUGAUGUCAUAGUGAGACGGUUUAUCAAUAGCAUGAAUAUGGCAAUGGAUGCUCAAUAUGUAUAUGUUAUCAUGCAAUUGAUGAUGGACAAUAUGAUCAUGAUGUAUGAAUAUGCCUUCAAGGUAGAUCACAACAAAUUUGCUAAGGAAAUGCGCAAGCUCAUAUAUCAUGGAUGACAUGGGAAUACAAGAUGCAACAAGGCAAUCAUAAUGUGAGUCAAUCCAUGCAUGAGGUGCAAACUUGUGGUAAGUAUGAUAUGUCCAUCGAGCUUGACAUGUAUGAGCACAAUCAACAAAUAUGAAGGUGGUAGUGUACCCAAGCUCGAUGUCGAGGCAUGAGUGGAGUGCCGAAGGUGCAUCCCAUAAGUGCGAGCGCUCCUCAAUGUGAAGGUCAAUAGAGCCAAACUCCAAUGUUGCUCCUCCAUCCAAUAGAUGUAACAUGUAGACAACAAGAAGGAAACAACAAUGAAAGAGUGACCCAUCCAAUAUGCGUAUUUGAGGAUGGCUCAAAGAGAAGGAGGUCACCUUUAGGAGUUUCUCAAGGAUGAUGGAGUCGCACAUCUUGUAUGCCUUCACAUAACCAAUAUGUCUCGUGGUGGUCCCGCCUUGUAAAUCCUUCAAAAUGAAAGAACAUGACAAACACUUGGAAAAACAAAUGAGGGUAGCAAAAUGGCAAAACCGAUCAUUCGUGUGGUAAGAUACCCAACAAGUGUAUGUAUCAUGCUCAUCAUAAGAAAUGACAAGGGAGUAUUGCAUAGUAUGGAGGCAUAUGAUGCGAGAACAACCAAAUGCAAUAGGCUCAAUCAAACAAACAUGCAUCACAAGUAAAGUGUCCAAGUCUCCAAGAUCAAUAAGCAUAGCAAGUUGUCACUCAAUACAAGGUGAUAUGAGAGAUGCAACUAAUGAAGACAAGAGGCAACGAUCAUGACAAAUCAAGUGAGAGGCAUCAACAUCUAUGUCAUCAACCCAAGAAAGC